AGCAUUAUACUUUUGUACUUAUUCAACCUUUCUUCUUCUAAUUAUUUAGGUCUCUCGUGCAUAUUAUGUGUGAAUUAGGUUUAUGAAGACACUUAAAAGAUAUGUUAGAAAUCGUUCAAGACAUGAAGGCUGCAAAGCAAAGCGUUAUUUAGCCGAUAAAUGUAUGCUUUUUUGUAGUGGUUAUAUGAAACAAGCUACUAAGAUAGGGGUCCGAUAUAAUCAAAAUGAGGAUUUUGAGAAUGACACAACUAUUGAUGGACGUACCGUUUCUAAACAAAAGUCAAAGAUUUUGAGUCAAGAAAUGUUAGAGGUCACUCAUCGUUACGUGUUGUUUAAUAGUGCAGCAGUUGAACCGUAUAUAAUGUAAUCAAGUUAGUUAAUAAGUUAGUUUUGCAUUGAUUAAUAUUUUCUCGUAAACUUGUCUGACUAUUUAUUUAUUUAUUUUAUUUAGGAUGCAUAUAGAGGAGAUUAAAAAUACAAAUAGCCAUGCUGCCAAGAAUGAAACCUUAUUACAAAUGAAAAAUAUGGAGACUUUCACUUCUUGGUUUAUAGAAAAAGGCAAAGAAGACAAUUGUAACAUGUCAAGGACAUUGAAAUGGCUUGCGUGACGACCAAGAUGUGAGGUGAUGUCACAUUCUGGUUAUGUUAUCAAUGGACAUUGAUUUCAUACAACCGAUGUUAGUAGAAGUACACAAAACAGUGGUGUUUCUAUUGAGGCACAAACUAUAUGCCAAUCUAGUGUGAAGGAUACAAGUCAUGUAGUUGGUAAAAUUUCUUAUCAUGGUAUUAUAAAAGAUAUAAUUAUACUAGACUAUCAUAGUUUUAAAGUUCCUAUGUUUCAUUGUGAUUGGGCAAAUAUAGAUAGCGAAGUCAAGAUUGAAGAAAGGUUUUACAUUGGUAAAUCAUCAUAGAGGACAACAUCAAUUUGAAAGAGAUCCAUUUAUCUUAGCAUCACAAGCAAAGCAAGUUUUUUAUUCUAGAGAAAGUGAUACGUCUAGUUGGUAUAUUGUAUUGAAGGCACCUCCUAGAGGAUUUCAUGAGUCAGAAAAUUUUGAUGAUGAUGCUUAUACUCCAUCCACAGUAGAUGCAUCAUUAAGACUUGAUAUGACUGUUGAAGAUGAAAGUUACGUGAGAUAUGACUGUGAUGGCAUUGAUAUUGAAUAUGAUGCAAAUGAUGAAAGCUGACUUUUGUGGAAACUGACGUGCAAAAUGAGUGGACAUAAUAUGUCAAAUCAUGGUGAAUCAUCUACUCAGGGAUACAAGAAAUCAAAAUGAGCUAAAAAAGCUUCGGUUGUUGUUGCCACAAGAGAAGGAAAUGAAGGCAUAAAAAUAUCAGAGAGAGGUUUUAAAUCUGUGCAACAUGAUGCAGAAGUCUUGCUAAAUAGCUUCAGUACUACUGAAAAAGUAAAGAAAGGAAGGGGUCGAGCAAAGUUGAACUAUCUCAACAAGGGAAAAUGUACAAAGUUAACUGUAGAAUUUAAUGAAAGAGGGCAACCAAUUUGUAAAGGAUCAAAUAAGUUAUCAUCGUUCUUUGGAACCACAGCUAGGGAACUUAUACCUAUUAAAAAGAAAAAUUGGAAAGAUUUCAACGAAAGUUUUCUUUAUGACAUAUGGGAGUUUGUGCAGGUGAUAUACACCUCACAUCACAUAUAGUGUAAAUUAAAUCUUGUGUAUUUUGAUGUAGCAAAGGUUUGAUAUUGACAUUGUCAUAGAAAGUACAUUAUGCAAAAAUAUGGAAAGAGUUGGAGAGAUCAUCGAUCUGAUAUGCCAAAAACAAUCAGCGACAAAGGAAGAAAAAUUGGCGAACACAAGUUGCUGCUCUUCUCAAGCCAGAUAAUGUUGAGUCAAUGGAAUAAUGGUAAGCAUUUGUCAAAGAACGCAAUUCUCAACCAUACAAGGUAUGUUCCAUUGCUCUUAUAUAAUGAAUGUGCAUGUUAUAAGUUACUGUGGGCAAACCAGAUGAAUAUUCUUUUAUAUUGUGAAUGGGUAAUGAUUGUAAUGGUGUUACAUAUCCUUUCUAUAAUGAAUUAAGUUGUUAGAUGAUGAUUUCCUAUAGGUUCCUAGCUCUUCCUACUACUUUCACUUUCGUUAGCAAAAAAGAAAGUAUAACACUAUCCAUAAUGUUGUGUUUAUACAAUAAUUUUCAAAUUUUGAAUGAUAGGUUUAAAAAGAUGAGAGCUAGUCAAACUAUGUUGCAUACAACAAGUACAAAAGGCUUUGCCCGCUUAGAAGCAAAAAUGGUAAAAUUUAUGUUCAAUUAUAAGUUAAAUUUGCUUGAAAAUUUGUCAAUGUGUACAAACUAUCAUGCAUACGGAAUGGGUAAAACAAAUUGCAGCACUUGAUUCCAUUACAAGAGAUGAUAUUUAUAUUCGAGGACUGAUGCGAAAAAAUGGUGAAUCAAUUAAUGACUCAGUUGGAGAAACAUUGGUAACGAAUUUGUUCUUUGAAUUUUCUUCUGGUAAUUCAAAGUUUAUAUUUGCAUUACUUUAAACCAUUAAUGUAAUUCUUGAUAUCAGAAAAAAAUAAAAACUUGUUCAUAAACAGUUACCUCUCCAAGUAAACAAUCUCUCAAAGAUGAUGGUGUUGCAAGAAUACUUGGUUUGGAAUGUCGAGGAUGAGUAAGAGGGCUUGGCUUCGGUGCAACUCCUUCAAAGUUGAAUGCUUUGGUACAAAGUCAGAACUUGUAAACUCAAGUACAAGAGUUAAGAGAUGAAAUUAAAGAAUUGAAAGCUUUAUUUCAACAGAAGAGUAAAAGUGUUGAACAAGAAAAUGUAAGUGCGAAACUAUCGGUUGAUAUUCUAUACUUUAUAUUCUUUUCUAUAUUCAAAUUAUCAAAUUGUACUUUCAUAUGAAUUUUACAACAUAGUGAUAGAAGCUCGAAUGGUUUAGAUAAUUAUCAGAGUAAGAAAUACAAAUUGUUAUGUUGGUUUGGGAAA